rnacentral:rRNA from 1 species
GACGAACGCUGGCGGCGUGCUUAACACAUGCAAGUCGAACGGUAAGGCCCUUCGGGGUACACGAGUGGCGAACGGGUGAGUAACACGUGGGUGAUCUGCCCUGCACUUCGGGAUAAGCCUGGGAAACUGGGUCUAAUACCGGAUAGGACCACUGCCUGCAUGGGUGGUGGUGGAAAGCUUUUGCGGUGGGGGAUGGGCCCGCGGCCUAUCAGCUUGUUGGUGGGGUGAUGGCCUACCAAGGCGACGACGGGUAGCCGGCCUGAGAGGGUGACCGGCCACACUGGGACUGAGGUACGGCCCAGACUCCUACGGGAGGCAGCAGUGGGGAAUAUUGCACAAUGGGCGCAAGCCUGAUGCAGCGACGCCGCGUGAGGGAUGACGGCCUUCGGGUUGUAAACCUCUUUCAGCACCGACGAAGCGCAAGUGACGGUAGGUGCAGAAGAAGGACCGGCCAACUACGUGCCAGCAGCCGCAGUAA